AAGGGCCAUUCGGGCACUCCGAUGCCGGAGGCGCCGUUCGCACCCACCUGACGACUGCUCGCAACAUGGGUGUCAGCC
rnacentral:sRNA from 1 species